rnacentral:rRNA from 1 species
UACAGAGGUCCCGAGCGUUGUUCGGAUUUAUUGGGCGUAAAGGGUGCGUAGGUGGCAAAGUAAGUUGGAUGUGAAAUCCUGGGGCUUAACCUCAGAAUUGCAUUCAAUACUGCUUAGCUAGAGAGCUGUAGAGGAGACUGGAAUUUACGGUGUAGCAGUGAAAUGCGUAGAUAUCAGGAAGAACACCCGUGGCGAAGGCGGCUCUCUGGAACGCAACUGACGCUGAGACGCGAAAGCGUGGGGAGCAAACAGG